ensembl:lncRNA
CAGAUAAUACAUAUGUUUAUUAGCUCAAAUUAGCCAUUCCAUACAUAGAUACAUAUUCCAAAUAUCAUGUUGUAUGCUAUAAAUAUAUGCCAUUUUGUCACCUAAUUUUAAAAGACAAGAGCCCAUGGAAUGGAGCCCACUCUUGGAUCUUCCUUGUUAGUGGACAUUUUCUUAAGUUUUUCUCUUCAGGUUUUCAAUCAAGGGCAAAGUAUUUCUGGAAUGGCAACUAGAGCCACAUAAUGACAAGCUGACGUCAAGGUCUCACGUAGUAUCAUGUUUUAUUUCACAAAUGUCACAAAGUUUUCAAACGAUCCAUCCUUUCUGUACCAUACAUGCUUACAGGGAUGAAACCAUUUUUAUCAAGAAAAUAGUUGUUAAAAGAAGCUAUAUGAAAGUAUUGAUAAUUAUUGGUUAAUUUACUGUAAAGGCGUUGAAUAUAUGUGUAAUAUUCAGUAAUUCCAUUUUCAGAUCAUAUGAGCGACUUCUUACAGUAGCCUCUACGAUGAGCUAUUGAAAACUUAGUGGAAACAUGAAAAUAUUUUUGGGUCAGAAGCAUAAAUUUCCAAAGCAAAAUCUGUUCAGAUUAAUGAUGAAUAUCCGAUUGGGAAUGCAUAAGAAAAACCCAAAAGCAACGCUUUUCCCCAAUCUCUUUAUGAACAUCAGCUUUACUCAAGUGUAUGAAGUCUUGUCUUAGAUUCAUUUUCAACAAACACAAUUUAUUUGAAUAUGUCCAAAAUAAGAAGGCUUAGAUUUUUCUUGCUCUAGGAAAUUUGCUUAUACCCUUUUUCUUAUUUUUCUUCCUAAGUCUGAAUUUCUGCAUUGCAUGGAAUUUUCUUCUGGUGACUGUUUAUCAGUUGGUGCCUCUUCAGAAGGAGAAGCCAAAGUUUUCAAGCUGAACAAUGUGUCCUAUAAAACUAUUCUACAAGGCAAAUCUUGGCAUGUCACAGAAAAUUUUCUUGCAGAUCUAUCAGAAUUGAGGCGCUAUCUCUGGAAUCUACGGAAAUCUUCACUGCUCCAACUUCCUUCUAAAUUAGUUUAGGUUAUAUGUAGGGGAUGGAAAGAUUAGAUUUUUGAAUACUUCAGACACAGUAAUCAAUGAAGACUUAAGUCAUCACUGUGUCUCAUCUGCCUAAGAAAUUAAAUAAGAGAAAUUUAAGAUAAUCUGCAGUGAUUCCCAAUCUUGUCAAAUUUGACAUCAAUGGAGCACGAACCAAAUGUGAUGUCAGAUUCAGAGCACAUUUGCUUUUCCCUCAUAAAAUCCAAGAAAGUCUGGAAUAGGUCAUGUUAAUUGGCAACAAUAAAGGCAGAAAAGGAAGGAAAGCAGAAAGAGGAAAAGAGGAAGAAUGAGUGGAAGAGGGAAAGAAGUGAGAAAAGGCAGAUGGAAAAAAUGUUUUCUAAAAUGUAAAUUUGGGGAAAACUCACCUAAAUUCAUAUGCUUCAGAUGGUCUAAAAAAUAAGAAUGCCUCCCCUCAACUUUCUCUCUUUUUUGUGAGAGAAAUAAACAGUAAUAAUUGUAUGACAAAUACGUUGUGAUCUGCUAAAUGCAGGUGUUUUUGUUUCAAUUGUGUGGUUUACAUCAAACAUUGCUUUCCUAUCUAUAAGUGGCCACAGUUCUUUUUGUAUCAGGUAAGGGCAGAUUUUUUCCUUCAGUGAAAACCUAUUUGCUCACCCUCAAAGAAACUGUGCAAGGAAUCAACAAGAUACUUUCUGAUACAUUCCAAGGUUGUGUCUUAGAAUUUGUGAAUCAAAGAUACACAAUGACAUUUCCUUCUGUCUGUGUGUCCCUCCAUCUAUCCUACCAACUAGCUAACAUUAAUCUGACGAGUCUCUCCCUGCUGCCUGGUCCUGCCAUAAAAGCUGGUGGUGAAAUAUGGACAAAAAGACAAAUUAUCCAUCUUAAUAACACCACCGGAGAGGUUUAAACAGACAUUUACAUAAUCAUGUAAAUAAAUAUGUGGUUGAAAACUGCAAUGAAUGACAUGAAAGGAAAUUAUGGGAUGCUACAGACCAG